rnacentral:rRNA from 1 species
AUCCUGGCUCAGGAUGAACGCUGGCGGUAUGCCUAAUACAUGCAAGUCGUACGUGCAUCUUAGUAAAAUUAUUUAUAAUUUUGCUAAGAGAUAAGUGGCGGACGGGUGAGUAAUGCAUAAAAAUCUGCCCUUUGGCUAGGAAUAACGAUUGGAAACGAUUGCUAAGACCUAAUAUGCUGAGAAGUGAAACAAAGGAUGAGUUUAUGUCUGAUUAGCUAGUUGGUGAGAUAAAAGCUCACCAAGGCAACGAUCAGUAGCUGGUUUGAGAGGAUGAUCAGCCACAUUGGGACUGAGACACGGCCCAAACUCCUACGGGAGGCAGCAGUAAGGAAUUUUCCGCAAUGGGCGCAAGCCUGACGGAGCAAUACCGCGUGAAGGAAGACGGUCCAUGGACUGUAAACUUCUUUUGAUAGAAAUGAAGUUCUGACAUUAUCUAUAGAAAAAGCAUCGGCUAACUCCGUGCCAGCAGCCGCGGUAAUACGGGGGAUGCAAGCGUUAUCCGGAAUGAUUGGGCGUAAAGCGUCUGUCGGUGGGUUUAGAAGUCUGUACGUUAAAUCGUAAAGCUCAACUUUAUUAAAGCUACAGAAACUCUAGAUCUUGAGCAUGGUAGGGGUAGAGGGAAUUUUGAGAGUAGCGGUGAAAUGCGUAGAUACUCGAAGGAACACCGACGGCGAAAGCACUCUACUGGGCCAUGUCUGACACUCAGAGACGAAAGCGUGGGGAGCCAAUAGGAUUAGAGACCCUAGUAGUCCACGCAGUAAACGAUGGAAACUAAAUGUAGCUUCAAUUAUUUUUGAGUGGUAUUCCCACACAUUUGAUAGUUCUGGCUGUGUUGUAGCUAACGCGUUAAGUUUCCCGCCUGGGGAGUACGAUCGCAAGGUUGAAACUCAAAGGAAUUGACGGGGGCCCACUCAACCGGUGGAACAUGUGGUUUAAUUCGAUGCAACGCGAAGAACCUUACCAAGGUUUGAAAUCAGCGCUUGACGAUAAGAAAUUGUUGUCUUUUAUGGCGUUGACAGGUGGUGCAUGGCUGUCGUCAGCUCGUGUCGUGAGAUGUUGCGUUAAGUCGCGCAACGAGCGCAACCCUUGUCGAUUUGUUAUGAUAAACGAACGAGACUGCCAAUGAUACAUUGGAGGAAGGAGAGGACGACGUCAAGUCAUCAUGCCCCUUACACCUUGGGCUACACACGUGUUACAAUGGCCAGGACAAUGAGCAGCUACCCUGUAAAGGCAAGCGAAUCUCAAAAACCUGGUCUCAGUUCGGAUUGAGGGCUGAAACUCGCCCUCAUGAAGUCGGAAUCGGUAGUAAUCCCGGGUCAGCCAUACCGGGGUGAAUACGACCCUGGGCCUUGUACACACCGCCCGUCACACCAUGGAAAUUGGCCAGACCCGAAGUCAUUUUCUGAACCUUUUUGGACAGAGAUGCCUAAGGUCGGGCUGGUAACUGGGGUGAAGUCGUAACAAGGUA